UGAGAGUAUUGUGAAGUGCAAGUUCAUCAUAUUCCCAGAAGGAAGAGGAGAAGCCUGCUGACAGCCACAGGGGGAAAGGCAUUCCACCAGUAAGGGCAGCACAGGGAGGGAGGCAAAUUCAGCGGGGCCGGGGACCCAUGCCCAGGUUGGUGAGAUGCUAAGGUGUGUGGAUGUGUUUUGGGUAACCUGAUGCUUCUCACUACAGCACCGUUAUUCGAAUGCCUGUCUAUGGGGCACUAGGUACUGAGAGCAGAUGCACAAGACGAUAGACCUCAUACAGGGGGAGGAAAAGUAGGGCCCCACAUCCCAAUGCACUUUCAUCUGGGGGCUCCUUGAGGGUCAGAGCUGGCCCUUAUAUGUCCUUUUGUCUCUGGCCCUGUUGCGUCUGUGUAGGUUCUCAGGACUUGACCUACAGCUGAUGGAACCUGAGGGAGCCCUGUGGGUGCUGAAGGCAUGCCGUAGGGACAGGAGGGCUGGCUCUAAAGACUUGUCCCCACCCAACGAUGCGUUCAACUAAGUAAGAGUGUACUCCUAUUUAUUAAAAGGAAAGUUAACUGUGAAGCAGCCUAAGGCAGGUCCUUCGGGUGUUCCAGAAGACGUCACUGCUAUCAAAGUCUUCUGCAAUGGGAUUGCAGCUCCAUGCCUGUUAUUGCCCCUCAAGAACUUCCAGUGGGACAAGAUGUGGAGGUGGAAGACGGGGAUAUUGAUGAUCCUGACCCUGUGUAGGCCUAGGCUAAUGUGUGUGUCUGUGUCUUAGUUUUUAACAAAAAAGUUUAAAAAGUAAAAAUAAAAUAAAAUAAGAAUAGAAAAAAGCUUAUAGAAUAAGGCUAUAAAGAAAAUAUUUUUGUAUAGCUGUAUGAUGUGUUUGUGUUUUAAGCUAAGCGUUAUGACAAAAGAGUCAAAAAAUUAAAAAGUUUAUAAGGUAAAAAAGCUUACAGUAAGCUAAGGUGAGUUUAUCAUUAAUGAAAGAAUUCUUUUAAAUAAAUUAAGUGUGACUUAAUUGUGCAGUGUUUAUAGAGUCUAAAAUAGUCUACAGUCAUGUCCCAGGCCUUCACAUUCACUCACCGCUCACUCACUGACUCACCCAGAGCAAUUUC
rnacentral:lncRNA from 1 species